GACAGAGGGGGCAAGCGUUGCUCGGAAUUACUGGGCGUAAAGGGUGCGUAGGCGGUUCGUUAAGUCUGUCGUGAAAUCCCCGGGCUCAACCUGGGAAUGGCGAUGGAUACUGGCGAGCUAGAGUGUGUCAGAGGAUGGUGGAAUUCCCGGUGUAGCGGUGAAAUGCGUAGAGAUCGGGAGGAACAUCAGUGGCGAAGGCGGCCAUCUGGGACAACACUGACGCUGAAGCACGAAAGCGUGGGGAGCAAACAGG
rnacentral:rRNA from 1 species